CGCGAAAACUCCGCAAUGGGGGAAACCGUGACGGGGCCACCCCGAGUGCCGCCCGAAGAGGGCGGCGUUUGCCCGGUGCACAAAGCGGGGCGAACAAGCGGGGGGCAAGUCUGGUGUCAGCCGCCGCGGGAAUACCAGCCCCGCGAGGGGUCGGGGGGCUUACGGGGCCUAAAGGGCCCGUAGCCGGCCCGGGAAGUCGCGCCUGAAGUCCACGGGCGCAACCCGGGGGCGGGGGGCGGAACUGCGGG
rnacentral:rRNA from 1 species